UAACACGUGAGCAACCUGCCCUUGACUCUGGAAUAACAGUUGGAAACAGCUGCUAAUACCGGAUAUGACCUCUUCCGACAUCGGUCGAGGUGGAAAGCUCCGGCGGUCAAGGAUGGGCUCGCGGCCUAUCAGCUUGUUGGUGAGGUAACGGCUCACCAAGGCUUCGACGGGUAGCCGGCCUGAGAGGGCGACCGGCCACACUGGGACUGAGAUACGGCCCAG
rnacentral:rRNA from 1 species